AUUGAACGCUGGCGGCAUGCCUUACACAUGCAGGUCGAACGGUAACGGGCCUUCGGGUGCCGACGAGUGGCGAACGGGUGAGUAAUGUAUCGGAACGUACCUUUCAGUGGGGGAUAACGUAGCGAAAGUUACGCUAAUACCGCAUAUUCUGUGAGCAGGAAAGCAGGGGAUCGCAAGACCUUGCGCUGAUUGAGCGGCCGAUAUCAGAUUAGCUAGUUGGUGAGGUAAAGGCUCACCAAGGCGACGAUCUGUAGCGGGUCUGAGAGGAUGAUCCGCCACACUGGAACUGAGACACGGUCCAGACUCCUACGGGAGGCAGCAGUGGGGAAUUUUGGACAAUGGGGGCAACCCUGAUCCAGCCAUGCCGCGUGAGUGAAGAAGGCCUUCGGG
rnacentral:rRNA from 1 species